rnacentral:rRNA from 1 species
CGUCGUAAGUACACCUCUAAAAGAUUAUAGUGUACAAUCAUGACUAUCUCAUUUACGUCAGGUCAAAGUGCAGCCUAUAAAGAGGUGAUGAUGGGUUACACUCCUCACACAGUCACGAAAUAUGUAACUAAAAAAUAUACAAAGAUGGACUUGAACGUAAUUCAAUUUUUAUAUUUUAAUGAAAAUGUAUCUAAGACAUGCACACAUCGCCCGUCACUCUCUCCCCAAGGAGAGAUAAGUCGUAACAAAGUAGGUGUAACGGAAGUUGCACCUGU